UAUCAUAGAUCUUCCUCUUCGAUUUCAAUGAUGAAUUGAAUUCAAACACAUACAACUUAAACACGCCGACAAAAACCAACCGAACCAAUCGAAGGCGUAGUCAUGAUCCAAGGAUCCUGUAAAUGCAGAGUCUAGGUCACGAUUCCGAUUAGAAGUUGAAAUGGACGCGCAUCAUCGUUUGAUUCUCUAGAUGGUUCAUGAUUUAUCAGCGAGUAUCGAUUCCAGGAUGAAGAAUAUUGCAGCUCCUCAAUUGUUUCGGCUACAACAGUACUUAUGUGCAGUAGUGUGGAGUGCUCCUCUCUGGCUAAACUAAACACACAUGAUUAUACAACACUUGCAGGAUUAUUAGUGAUCGCGGUGAAGUUGAUCGUUAUAUGAGUUUGUGGGAUCUUGAGCCACACAGGAACUGGUUUUAAGCGAAUUUUGACAAGUUAAAUCAAUUGAAGAUACGGGAGAGUAUUGCAAGUAAAUGCGGCUAGAAAGGCAGGAUAGUCAAUGGGAGGAGGGAAUUAUUACCAUGCGUCCAUACUAUUAGUGUUGGUGGUAAAAUCAAGAAAUAAGACGAUCAUGCACUAGGGGGUUCUGCGAUAUUGUAAUUAUACUUUAUUUAUUGGUUGACCAUCCAAGUUAAUUCUACAUCGUGGGUGGGAGGUUUUUAAGAGUUGUUGUUUUAAGUCUUUUAAGUGUGAUUUUUGAUUUUGGCAUAUGAUGUUGGCCUAUGAGGCUAGGAACUUUUUGUUAUACGUCUUAUAUCCAAUGGAAUGUGUUGAUGUUUCGUUCUU